rnacentral:lncRNA from 1 species
AUGAGGGAGGGAAUUCCUGUUGUGGCUCAGUGGGUUAAGAACCUGUCUAGGAUUGAUCCUGCAACCUCAUGGAUACUAGUCAGGUUUGUAACCCGCUGUGCCACAGCAGGAACUCCCCAGACUCUGUUUUUAAAGGCUCACUCUGACAUAAGUGUAAAGAAAUCAAUCUUUAGGAGUUCCCUGGUGGCUCAGCAGUUAAGGAUCUGGCACCAGGAUCCCCAGCCCAGGAACUUCUGUAUAACUCAGGUAAAUCCAAAAAAGAAAAAAGAACUCAUCUCAUUUUCUUUUCUUUCUUUCUUUCUUUUUUUUUUUUUUUUUUUUUGGCUUUUUGACUUUUCUAGGGCCGCUCCUGCAGCAUAUGGAGAUUCCCAGGCUAGGGGUCGAAUUGGAGCUGUAGCCACCUGCCUACACCAGAGCCACAGCAAUGCAGGAUCUGAGCCACGUCUGCAACCUACACCACAGCUCAUGGCAACACCGGAUCCUUAACCCACUGAGCAAGGCCAGGGAUAGAACCUGCAACCUCAUGGUUCCUAGUCAGAUUCGUUAACCACUGCACCACAAUGGGAACUCCAAAAGAAUUCAUUUUCUAAAUAAAUGAGUGCCAACCAUGGGCAAAGUACUUGUUUUACACUGAAUACACAGCAGUGGACAAAAUAUGGACUCUUUCUCUCUGAGGAGUUGUUUUUGUUUUUUGCGGGGAGGGGGGUUUGGCCAUGCCCAUGGCAUGUGGAAGGUCCCAAGCCAGGGAUGGAACCUGAGCCGCAACAAUGACCCAAGCCAUAGCAGUGAUAAUGCUGGAUCCUUAACCCGCUGUGCCACAAGAGAACUCCCCUUUGAGAUCUUACAGACAAUAUACAAACAGUACAUAAGAUGGUGAGAAGUGCUAUUAUGCAUAUUGGAAAUCAGGUAAAAAUAAAAUGGUAGGGUGCUUCUGCUCAUUCAUUAGCUUGAACCAUGUGAAAUUACUGAUCUUUUAUAUAUAUUUUUAAAACCUCAGAAUGAUAUUAAGUUUAUGGUUUACAGCCUGGUAGGAUGACAUUAGAGUUACAUUAUUCAAUUUAAUACUUGGAAGAGUUAGAGAAAACCUCUGAUAAGGUGAUCCAAAGAAAGAGGCAAGCCAUGCAAAUUUGUGGUGGAAGGUGAAGAGAAUCCCAAGUGAAGAGAAAGCAGGUGCAAAAGUCCUAAAGCAAGAAUACUCGCUGCAUUUGAUGGCCUCAUUAGGAGGCCAGUAUGACUGAAAAGUAAUGGACGAGAGGGAAGGAUGGUUGUAGGGACCAGAGCAUGCUGGGUCUUGGAGACCAUGGUAAGAAAUUGGCUUUUCUUCUCUCUCUCUUAUGGAGGCUCCCAGGCUAGGGGUCAAAUCAGAGCUAUACCUGCCAGCCUAUGCCAAGGCAGGAUCUGAGCUGCAUCUAUGACCUACACCAUAGUUCAUGGCAAUGCCAGAACCUUAACCCACUGAGUGAGGCCAAGGAUUGAACCUGCAACCUCACAGUUACUAGUCAGAUUCAUUUCUGCUGAGCCACAACAGGAACUCCUGGCUUUUCUUCUUUGAAUGAGGCAAGGCAUUGAGGCAUUUUGAGCAGAGGAGCUAUAAGAUUUGUUAUCUUAGAAAUGGUAGAUUCUAGGUAGUGAGUAUACAGACGGAUCACUGUAAAAUCUUUCAAUUUUUCUAUAUGUUUUAGAUUUUUCCCAAUAAAAUGAGAAGACUGCUUCAGCUGCUGGUUUGUAAAUAGAUUUUAGGAGGUAGAAGAUAAGGAAGACCAGUAUUGUAAUAAUUUAGAUAGUAGUGGAGGUGGUAAGAAGUUGUUAAAUUCCAAAUAAAUUUUGAACAUAGAGCCAGUAAGAUUUUCUUACAGGUAUAAGAAAAGAGAUACUGCUUAAAGUUUUAGAUCUGAGCAACUGGAAGGAUGGGGUUGCCAUCUACUGAAAUGUGGAAGGCAGUGUCUACAAACAAGUUUGGAGCAGAAGGCUUUUUGGACAAGAUAAAUUUGUGAUGUCUUUUGAAUUUGAUAAAUGGAUAUAUCAAAUAGGCAAUUGACUAUUCAAGUCAGUAAUUCACAGGAAGCAUCCAUGUAGGAAAUACAAUUCUAGGAAUCCACUUAAAUACUACGAUACAGGAGUUCCUGUUGUGACUCAGUGGAAACGAAUCUGACUAGCAUCCAUGAGGAGGCAGGUUCAAUCCCUGGCCUUGCUCAGUGGGUUAAGUCUCCAGUGUUGCUGUGAUCUUUGGUAUUGGUUGCAGACUUGGCUUGGAUCUUGAGUUGUUGUGGCUGUGGCGAAGGCUGAAGGCUACAGCUCCAAUUAGACCCCUAGCCUGGGAACCACCAUAUGCCUCAGGUGCGGCCCUAAAAAGACCAAAAAAAAAAAAANUACAAAGAUCAAUGCCUUGUGAAUUAAAUGGAAAUACUUGGAGUUUAGUCUAAAGCUUCUUUCUCAUGCUUUGUUCUAGUUUUGUUUGUACUUUAUAUUGCCAUUCAGAAUAUUUACAUGCAUUACUGUCUGCAAUUCACUUGCAGUCUAAAGGGUUUUUCUUUUUGGUUGUUUGUUUUUGGCCACCCCACAGCAUAUGGAGUUCCUGGGCCAGCAAUCAGGUCUGAGCCACAGUUGUGACCUAUGCCG